UACUUCCUCAUCACAGACAUCUCAGACUUCAGUGAGUGAGACUUGCCGGUCUGGGCAGGGCACAGGGGCUGGAGGCUGCAGGGGGCUCAGUGUGGCCUCUGUCUCCCAGAGAGGAAGAUGCCUGACUUGCCUGGAGCUGUGGAUGAGCCCUAUGACAGACGCUUCGUCAAGUGGAUGAUCAAGAACAAGGUGGGCUGGGCCUCUGCCAGGCAGCCAUGUAUGGUUUCACAGGUUGUGUGCUGCUCAAGGGUGCCCAGGCAAGAGGCUCCUGGGCUAGAUCUUAGUCCAGCCUCUGCCGUCAACCUUGGGGCAGGGUUGUAUCCACUUCAGAGAA
rnacentral:sRNA from 1 species